rnacentral:rRNA from 1 species
AUACGGAGGGUGCAAGCGUUACUCGGAAUCACUGGGCGUAAAGCGCGCGCAGGCGGCUAUUUAAGUUGGAUGUGAAAGCCCACGGCUCAACCGUAGAACUGCAUCCAAAACUAUUAGACUAGAGUGUGGGAGAGGAAGAUGGAAUUAGUUGUGUAGGGGUAAAAUCCGUAGAGAUAACUAGGAAUACCAAAAGCGAAGGCAAUCUUCUGGAACACUACUGACGCUGAGGCGCGAAAGCGUGGGGAGCAAACAGGAUUAGAAACCCUAGUAGUCC